GCAGGCAGAUCUUUUUCUCUGGCACCGAAUACAUUAGCAUGGAAUAAUGGAAUAGGACCCUGUCCUCCAAUUUUACGUGUUGUUUUUCAAGGACAGGGUUAAUGAUGAUAAUGAUUAGUUGGGAUCGUUGGUAUUUUAUUGAUUUAAGUGACAUACGUGGAUUUAUUGGAGAUUAGAUUCAGCAACUUCAUCUGCCAAGGUUGUUUUGAUUAUUUAAAAUAGACAGUAAGGGGAUCGAAGAGAAUCAGAUCCCGUCGAAGCCUUAACCUUAAACGAUGCCAACCAGCCCUACGGAGACUUUGAAUACAAAACACCACCAUCACGGGGACAUUCCCGGCCGGCGUUGAAUGGUUGAAUUAUCACGCCGCCAACAGU
rnacentral:rRNA from 1 species